CCUACGGGUGGCAGCAGUGGGGAAUAUUGCACAAUGGGGGAAACCCUGAUGCAGCAACGCCGCGUGAGUGAAGAAGUAUUUCGGUAUGUAAAGCUCUAUCAGCAGGGAAGAAGAUGACGGUACCUGAAUAAGAAGCCCCGGCUAACUACGUGCCAGCAGCCGCGGUAAUACGUAGGGGGCAAGCGUUAUCCGGAUUUACUGGGUGUAAAGGGAGCGCAGACGGCAGUGCAAGUCUGGAGGGAAAGCCCGGGGCCCAACCCCGGAACUGCUCUGGAAACUGUGCGGCUAGAGUACUGGAGGGGCAGGCGGAAUUCCUAGUGUAGCGGUGAAAUGCGUAGAUAUCGAGAGGAACACUCGUGGCGAAGGCGGGUUCCUGGACAUUAACUGACGCUGAGGCACGAAGGCCAGGGGAGCGAAAGGGAUUAGAUACCCCAGUAGUC
rnacentral:rRNA from 1 species